AGUCUCCAAAAAUUCCCAAUUUUCCCCCGAAUAAGAACCCUAGAACCUGAGAUUAAAAUCGAUAGAGAGACACAAAGAUUGAAAUCGAUCGAGAGACACAGAGAUUGAAAUCAAAUUCAUUGAUUUCAAGGCGAAUACCAUGAAUAGACGAAGGAGAAAGCUUCCAAUUCGAAGGGAUGGUAAAUCCCAAAUUGAACCUGAGAGAGUUGAAGCCGCUGAUCAAGAUGAAUCCGAAAUAGUUGGAGGCGAUGGAGUUGCAAGCAACGGGGUUGCAGAGCGUGGAGUUGCAGAAGAUGGAGGUAUAGGUGAUGGAGUUGCAGAGGAGAUAGUAAACGAGGAGGAAGUAGGCUAUGAUUCUCAUGAUUCUAGUGUUUACGAAGAUGAUUGUCCGGCUAUCGUCGAAGAUAGCAAUGGGUACAGAGAGGUAGAACAAUGUUUAGCUGAAAAUUCAGAGGAAGAAGAAGAUGAACUCAUUGAUGUUGAAAUCUGCAACAACUUAGAAGACCAUGUGUGUGAAGAUGAUGUAGGUAAUAAAUCUGUGAAAGUGGAGAUGAUGUUUGGGACGACGAGAAGAUUUCGGAUCCAUUAUCAGAUGAUGAUGAUAAAUAUGAACUUGAGAGGCUAUUCACUCAUGGAGAACGUUCUAAAGGUCUGCUAGCAUUGAAUAAAACAUUCAACAAUGUGGAUAAAUUCAAGCAGUGGUAGAGUUGGAAGAUAUAGAUAAUUGGAUGUGGUCUGUGCAACUGCUGAAAAAAGACAUGAGUUUUGAAGAUGGAGCUGACAUUACAAUGUAAUCAGAUAAACACCACUGUUUACUAAAUGCAGUUCAUGAUGAGCUUCCUCAAGCUGAACACAAAAUGUGUGCAAGACACAUUUUGAAAAACUAGAAGAAGACAAACAAGGAUAUUGAAACUUGAGUGUAUGUUUUGGAAAAUAGCAAGGAGUUACACAUCAGUAGCCUUUGCAACAAACUUAGAAGCACUGAAGAAGUAUAAUCAAGGUGCGUAUGACUCACUACAACGCACUGCACCAACAACUUGUUCUCGGGCUUUCUUUAAAUUUGGCUCUUGUUGCAAUGAUAACCUUAACAACCAAUUAGAAUCCUUCAAUAGAAAUGUUGGAGAGUAAAGAAGGUUUCCAAUACUUGAUUUCUUAACAGAGGUUAGGAGAAAGUUCAUUGACAGGAAUGCAAAGAUGACACUUUUAACUAUUUGGUGGAAGAAGAGGUUUACAGCAAGAGCAGAUAGAGAGAUUGAAUUAAAUAGGCAGAAAGCCAAGGAAACUUGCAUGAGAUAGAGUGUGGAGUGAUGUUUACUAUGUUGAUAUGGAAAAGAAAACAUGUGGUUGUGGCUAUUGGCAGUUGAAUGACAUACCUUGUAUGCAUAUUAUGUGUGUCAUAAAUACCAGAAAGUUGGAUCUGAAUGAGUAUGUCUCUGAAUGAGUAUGUCUUUGAUUAAUACUUGACUUCAAGGUGGUGUUUAUUGUAUCAGAAAGGAAUUAAACCAGUCCAAGGCAUGAAUAUGUAGAAAAGGUUAGGUCGCUUACCUGUGCUACCACCACUAGCUAGAUUUAAUCAAAGGAAGAACACAUGGUCGUUCUAGGAGAAAGGCUCCUCAUGAGUCUACAUCUAAUAUGUACAAGUUAACUCACCAUAAUAAGACUAGGUGUUCUAAUCCGACUGCAACUCUUGAAGCAAAAUGACCAAGAGGUCGUCAAAGAAAAGUACAUGUUAGUUCUUUUGUUAAAUUUUUUGGUAUUCUUCACUCCUUGGUGUCAUAAUGGUUUGAUUGAUUCUUAGUUUGUAGUGAGAAUCUUAUGUUGGAGCAUCUCAAGGUGGAUAUUCUCAUGCUAGGUCAUCACAAGGAGACUAUUCUCAAGCAAGAGCUUCUCAAGAUGGAUCAUCACAAGGAAGAUUCGGCUUCUCUCUUUAGUCCAUGGAGAUUCUGUUUUAGGCUUGGUUUAUGUAGUUUAUGUUUUUUUAAAGACCAUGAAGGCAUGAUGUUUUUGGUUUUAGUUUAAGACCAUGAAGGUUUAGUUUAAGACCAUGAAGUUCCUGUUUUAUUUAGUACAAUGCAAUUUCACUUGAAUUGUC